GCUGAUGCGUUGUUGGGUAGGGGAGCGUUCUGUAAGCCUGCGAAGGUGGCCUGUGAGGGUUGCUGGAGGUAUCAGAAGUGCGAAUGCUGACAUAAGUAACGAUAAAGCGGGUGAAAAGCCCGCUCGCCGGAAGACCAAGGGUUCCUGUCCAACGUUAAUCGGGGCAGGGUGAGUCGACCCCUAAGGCGAGGCCGAAAGGCGUAGUCGAUGGGAAACGGGUUAAUAUUCCCGUACUUGGUGUUACUGCGAAGGGGGGACGGAGAAGGCUAUGUUGGCCGGGCGACGGUUGUCCCGGUUUAAGCGUGUAGGUGUGUGUUCCAGGUAAAUCCGGUUCACUUUAACACUGAGGCGUGACGACGAGGCACUACGGUGCUGAAGCAACAAAUGCCCUGCUUCCAGGAAAAGCCUCUAAGCAUCAGGUAACACGAAAUCGUACCCCAAACCGACACAGGUGGUCAGGUAGAGAAUACCAAGGCGCUUGAGAGAACUCGGGUGAAGGAACUAGGCAAAAUGGUGCCGUAACUUCGGGAGAAGGCACGCUGACACGUAGGUGAAGUGAUUUACUCAUGGAGCUGAAGUCAGUCGAAGAUACCAGCUGGCUGCAACUGUUUAUUAAAAACACAGCACUGUGCAAACACGAAAGUGGACGUAUACGGUGUGACGCCUGCCCGGUGCCGGAAGGUUAAUUGAUGGGGUCAGCGCAAGCGAAGCUCCUGAUCGAAGCCCCGGUAAACGGCGGCCGUAACUAUAACGGUCCUAAGGUAGCGAAAUUCCUUGUCGGGUAAGUUCCGACCUGCACGAAUGGCGUAAUGAUGGCCAGGCUGUCUCCACCCGAGACUCAGUGAAAUUGAACUCGCUGUGAAGAUGCAGUGUACCCGCGGCAAGACGGAAAGACCCCGUGAACCUUUACUAUAGCUUGACACUGAACAUUGAGCCUUGAUGUGUAGGAUAGGUGGGAGGCUUUGAAGCGUGGACGCCAGUCUGCGUGGAGCCGACCUUGAAAUACCACCCUUUAAUGUUUGAUGUUCUAACGUGGACCCGUGAUCCGGGUUGCGGACAGUGUCUGGUGGGUAGUUUGACUGGGGCGGUCUCCUCCUAAAGAGUAACGGAGGAGCACGAAGGUUGGCUAAUCCUGGUCGGACAUCAGGAGGUUAGUGCAAUGGCAUAAGCCAGCUUGACUGCGAGCGUGACGGCGCGAGCAGGUGCGAAAGCAGGUCAUAGUGAUCCGGUGGUUCUGAAUGGAAGGGCCAUCGCUCAACGGAUAAAAGGUACUCCGGGGAUAACAGGCUGAUACCGCCCAAGAGUUCAUAUCGACGGCGGUGUUUGGCACCUCGAUGUCGGCUCAUCACAUCCUGGGGCUGAAGUAGGUCCCAAGGGUAUGGCUGUUCGCCAUUUAAAGUGGUACGCGAGCUGGGUUUAGAACGUCGUGAGACAGUUCGGUCCCUAUCUGCCGUGGGCGCUGGAGAACUGAGGGGGGCUGCUCCUAGUACGAGAGGACCGGAGUGGACGCAUCACUGGUGUUCGGGUUGUCAUGCCAAUGGCACUGCCCGGUAGCUAAAUGCGGAAGAGAUAAGUGCUGAAAGCAUCUAAGCACGAAACUUGCCCCGAG
rnacentral:rRNA from 3 species